rnacentral:misc_RNA from 1 species
GAUGAAGAACGUAGCGAAAUGCGAUAAGUAGUGUGAAUUGCAGAAUUCAGUGAAUCAUCGAAUCUUUGAACGCACAUUGCGGCCAUAGGUAUUCCUUUGGCCAUGCCUGUUCGAGCGUCAUUUACACCCUCAAGCCUAGCUUGGUGUUGGGCGUCUGUCCCGCCGUUCUCGCGCGCGGACUCGCCUCAAAGUCAUUGGCGGCGGUCGUGCCGGCCCCCUCGCGCAGCACAUUUGCGCUUCUCGGAGGCCCGGCGGAUCCGCGCUCCAGCAAGACCUUUCACGACUUGACCUCGGAUCAGGUAGGGAUACCCGCUGAACUUAAGCAUAUCAAUAAGCGGAGGA